rnacentral:rRNA from 1 species
UACGUAGGGCGCAAGCGUUGUCCGGAAUUAUUGGGCGUAAAGAGCUCGUAGGCGGCUUGUCACGUCGAUUGUGAAAGCCCGGGGCUUAACUCCGGGUCUGCAGUCGAUACGGGCUAGCUAGAGUGUGGUAGGGGAGAUCGGAAUUCCUGGUGUAGCGGUGAAAUGCGCAGAUAUCAGGAGGAACACCGGUGGCGAAGGCGGAUCUCUGGGCCAUUACUGACGCUGAGGAGCGAAAGCGUGGGGAGCGACCAGG